rnacentral:lncRNA from 1 species
CGCUCCUCACUGCUACGACGUCCUCGCCAUCCUAGCACCACUGCUCAACUGCCCUCACCACUGUUAAGCAUGCAUGACCGUCGCUCUCCUGGAUUUAUCUCCUCCCCACCCAACCAGCCUCCUCUCCCCUCUCCUAUUCUUCUUCCUUCUUCUUGCUUCGGCCAAGUCAAAGCAAAAUAGAGCCAAGCCGAGUAGGGCGCCUUCGCUGGCCAAAUCCACCACCCCUGCCUCGCCAUUUUCAAAUCGCCUCAGCCCAAAGCUGCCUCACCUUCCUAGCCACCUCCUCCACCUCUCCUUGCCCGGCACCAUGGCCCCAGUCAAUGGAGCCUUAGGUUCCAAUGCCGCCAUCGCUACC